CAGAUAUAACUUUAUAGACAUGGCUUCCGAUGGUAUAAACCAUCUGAAUUGGGUUUCUUUCACGAGCUUAGAACCUCUCACCGUGUCAGUAAUUAACAGCUGUAUCGGUUAUUGGUGGCGUUACAUGCUGUUGUGUACUGAAGUGCUACCCUAAUCAUCAUUUCAGGAAUUUGUCCGAAGCAAGGACCGCUGUAAGGCAGGUUGAGCGGAUCAGUGCGCUUGUGGACACCAGUGGGAAGUUCGAUCGCACGUUUGAAGAAUAUCUUAUCUUACAGUUAAAUUUGCUUCUUUCUCCGUAUUUGGAGCUUUUUGUACGGUAAUGAGAAAUAGAAGCAAUUUUCUCUUUUGGCUUUCCUCGGUCACCUUCGGAUUCUUAUCUUGCAUUCCAGGGAUAACCUUUUACGUCUGUCGCGUGUUCUGAAUCAUUUUCAUUGUUCCAUUCAAUGUUUUGUUGCAAAUAUAGGCCCCAGAAUCGCCAUUAGCUGUUCUAGGCAUGCAAAUCAGCGAUUAGAUUUUGUGCAGGAAUCGUUCCGUUGUACGAAGUCUCGCCUCCAGCAUCCUCAUUGCGUCAUGAUAGAAUGCAAUAUAGCAGAG
rnacentral:lncRNA from 1 species